rnacentral:rRNA from 1 species
GCAGUAGCCGCGGUAAUGCGUAGGUGGCAAGCGUUGUCCGGAAUUAUUGGGCGUAAAGGGCUCGCAGGCGGUUUCUUGAGUCUGAUGUGAAAGCCCCCGGCUCAACCGGGAGGGUCAUUGGAAACUGGGAAACUUGAGUGCAGAAGAGGAGAGUGGAAUUCCACGUGUAGCGGUGAAAUGCGUAGAGAUGUGGAGGAACACCAGUGGCGAAGGCGACUCUCUGGUCUGUAACUGACGCUGAGGAGCGAAAGCGUGGGGAGCGAACAGGAUUAGAUACCCCCGUAGUCCCUGUCUCUUAUACA